GAGGUACGUAUCGGAUACUGGGCGUAAGCGUGUGUAGGCGGUUCGGAAAGAAAGAUGUGAAAUCCCAGGGCUCAACCUUGGAACUGCAUUUUUAACUGCCGAGCUAGAGUAUGUCAGAGGGGGGUAGAAUUCCACGUGUAGCAGUGAAAUGCGUAGAUAUGUGGAGGAAUACCGAUGGCGAAGGCAGCCCCCUGGGAUAAUACUGACGCUCAGACACGAAAGCGUGGGGAGCAAACAGGAUUAGAUACCCUGGUAGUCCACGCCCUAAACGAUGUCAACUAGCUGUUGGGGCCGUUAGGCCUUAGUAGCGCAGCUAACGCGUGAAGUUGACCGCCUGGGGAGUACGGUCGCAAGAUUAAAACUCAAAGGAAUUGACGGGGACCCGCACAAGCGGUGGAUGAUGUGGAUUAAUUCGAUGCAACGCGAAAAACCUUACCUACCCUUGACAUGUCUGGAAAGCCGAAGAGAUUUGGCCGUGCUCGCAAGAGAACCGGAACACAGGUGCUGCAUGGCUGUCGUCAGCUCGUGUCGUGAGAUGUUGGGUUAAGUCCCGCAACGAGCGCAACCCUUGUCAUUAGUUGCUACGCAAGAGCACUCUAAUGAGACUGCCGGUGACAAACCGGAGGAAGGUGGGGAUGACGUCAAGUCCUCAUGGCCCUUAUGGGUAGGGCUUCACACGUCAUACAAUGGUCGGGACAGAGGGUCGCCAACCCGCGAGGGGGAGCCAAUCUCAGAAACCCGAUCGUAGUCCGGAUCGCAGUCUGCAACUCGACUGCGUGAAGUCGGAAUCGCUAGUAAUCGCGGAUCAGAAUGUCGCGGUGAAUACGUUCCCGGGUCUUGUACACACCGCCCGUCACACCAUGGGGAGUGGGUUUCACCAGAAGUAGGUAGCCUAACCGUAAGGAGGGCGCUUACCACGGUGGGAUCAUGAUGGGGGAUCAAAAAAAACCCCGCGCGCGCGCGCACCAAAAAGGGGGGGGAAAUACG
rnacentral:rRNA from 1 species